rnacentral:lncRNA from 1 species
UAAACUAUGCACUAGAUGUAGGUAAUAGGUUACUGUGACACUUCAAUAAUUUCAUAUCGGAUAAUUAUUACUAGAUGUGGAAAUAUAUAAACAUGAUUGGACUAGACAUAAUAACUGGGCUUAAGCAUUUGGGCUGGUGGUUUGGGCCCAACAAGUUAUUAUUGCUAGCGAGUCGGGUUGUUACAUUUGGUAUCAGAGCUAGUUCAACAGCCGAAAGAGUCUUGGCUCAGCCAAGGUCGGUGAUUGACAGGUUAAGUCAGAAUUGGAAUGACAAAGAUUAGCGAGACAAGUCUCACAUUGCCUGGUAAUCUUGGAUUUUGUAUGUGUUUAGAGCUGACGAGGACGUCAGGGCCUCAGGUGAGUCCAUUACACCUCAAUAAUUUCACAUCGGAUAGUUAUGGCUAGAUAUAGGAAUAUAUAAACUUGAUUGGGCUAGACAUAAUAACUGACCUUAAGUAUUUUGGAUUAGUGAUUUGGGCCCAACGUGUUAUUAUUGCUAGCGGGUCGAGUCGUAAAUACAAUUACCAUCAAUAUUAAAUAUUCAUA